UACGUAGGCAGCAAGCGUUGUUCGGAAUUACUGGGCGUAAAGCGUGCGUAGGCGGUUGGCCAAGUUUGGUGUGAAAUCUCCCGGCUCAACUGGGAGGGUGCGCCGAAAACUGGCCGGCUAGAGUGCGGGAGAGGGAAGUGGAAUUCCUGGUGUAGCGGUGAAAUGCGUAGAUAUCAGGAGGAACACCUGUGGUGUAGACGGCUUCCUGGACCGUGACUGACGCUGAGGCACGAAAGCGUGGGGAGCAAACAGG
rnacentral:rRNA from 1 species